UGGUCUCCUCUGUUGGAUCAUCCUGUGUUGUGGUUCUACUGGUGUUACUGGUUCUGCUGGUGAGACGAUGUGCUCACAGGAAACCUGAAGCAGAUCAAGAAGAAGAUGACAUCAUCACUUAUGUCAUGUACAGUUACAUUCAAUUAUCAGAUCCUCAACAACAGCCAAUCAGAAAAAGCAAAGAGACUGAUACAACUGUGGUCUACCCAGCAGUGGGCUCUGACGAUGUCAGUAAUGGACAAACAACCAUCAGGACAAGAAAGCUCAGGUACAGCUGGGCUGUUCACCCUGUUUACCGUCAU